rnacentral:rRNA from 1 species
GGGGGUACUCGAGUGGCGAACGGGUGAGUAACACGUGGGCAAUCUGCCCUGCACUUCGGGAUAAGCCUGGGAAACUGGGUCUAAUACCGGAUAGGACCUUUAGGCGCAUGUCUUUAGGUGGAAAGCUUUUGCGGUGUGGGAUGGGCCCGCGGCCUAUCAGCUUGUUGGUGGGGUGAUGGCCUACCAAGGCGACGACGGGUAGCCGGCCUGAGAGGGUGUCCGGCCACACUGGGACUGAGAUACGGCCCAGACUCCUACGGGAGGCAGCAGUGGGGAAUAUUGCACAAUGGGCGCAAGCCUGAUGCAGCGACGCCGCGUGGGGGAUGACGGCCUUCGGGUUGUAAACCUCUUUCACCAUCGACGAAGGUCCGGGUUUUCUCGGAUUGACGGUAGGUGGAGAAGAAGCACCGGCCAACUACGUGCCAGCAGCCGCGGUAAUACGUAGGGUGCGAGCGUUGUCCGGAAUUACUGGGCGUAAAGAGCUCGUAGGUGGUUUGUCGCGUUGUUCGUGAAAUCUCACGGCUUAACUGUGAGCGUGCGGGCGAUACGGGCAGACUAGAGUACUGCAGGGGAGACUGGAAUUCCUGGUGUAGCGGUGGAAUGCGCAGAUAUCAGGAGGAACACCGGUGGCGAAGGCGGGUCUCUGGGCAGUAACUGACGCUGAGGAGCGAAAGCGUGGGGAGCGAACAGGAUUAGAUACCCUGGUAGUCCACGCCGUAAACGGUGGGUACUAGGUGUGGGUUUCCUUCCUUGGGAUCCGUGCCGUAGCUAACGCAUUAAGUACCCCGCCUGGGGAGUACGGCCGCAAGGCUAAAACUCAAAGGAAUUGACGGGGGCCCGCACAAGCGGCGGAGCAUGUGGAUUAAUUCGAUGCAACGCG